GACGUAGGAUGCAAGCGUUGUCCGGAUUUAUUGGGCGUAAAGAGUUCGUAGGUGGUUCGUUAAGUCUGAUGUUAAAGACUGGGGCUCAACCCUGGAAGUGCAUUGGAUACUGGCGGACUUGAGUGUGGUAGAGGCAAGCGGAAAUUCCAGGUGUAGCGGUGAAAUGCGUAGAUAUCUGGAAGAACACCGGUGGCGCAAGCGGCUUGCUGGGCCAUAACUGACACUGAGGAA
rnacentral:rRNA from 1 species